CUACGGGGUAAGCUUGUAGUCCGUAAGGGAGACAACCCAGACCGUGGUUAAUGUCCCUCAAUGUAGGCUAAGUGUCAACACUGAAAGGCGUCCCAGGCCAAAGACAACUGGAAGGUGAGCUCAGAAGCAGCUAUCCUUUAAAAAGUGCGUAACAGCUUACCAGUCGAGGUUUGGGGCACUGAAAAUGGACGGGGCUAAAGCCUACUACAGAUACCACGGACCACACGUUUGUGUGAUGGCGUAGAGAGGCGUGCUGCUUGGGUCGAAGCAGGGGCGUGAGCUCCUGUGGACCGGGUAGUAAUGAGAAUUCUGGCAUUAGUAGAAGCAAAGUUGGGUGAGAAUCCCAACCGCCGGAGGGGCUAGGUUUCCUCGGCAAUGUUCGUCAGCCGAGGGUUAGUCGGUCCUAAGGUGUGUCGUAAUUCGAGCACAUCAACAGGGAAACAGGUUAAUAUUCCUGUACCAUUCAUCCGCAGCGUUAGUUCGCCCUGACGCUUCGGGAUAUGCCUGACAGGGUCGUCGCCCUGUCCAAGCGUUCAAGCUCGUGGAGUACCGCCAUGGUGAGAAGCGAGUGAAGGCGUGAUGGGGUAACCAGGCAAAUUCCUGGAGCCCGUGAAAAGGGGGAUGAAUGACCGUACCGAGAUCUGACACAGGUGCCCCUAGCUGAAGAGGCUAAGGCGUGUCGGUUUAAUCGUGUUAAGGGAACUCGGCAAAUUGGCCCCGUAACUUUGGGAUAAGGGGUGCCUGCCUGGCGAUCAGGCAGGUCGCAGUGACCAGGGGGCUCUGACUGUCUAAUAACAACAUAGGUGACUGCAACUCGGAAACGAUUAGUAUAGUCACUGAUUCCUGCCCAGUGCGAGUAUCUGAACACCGGGUUCAACCGGACGAAGGACUCGUAAACGGCGGGGGUAACUAUGACCCUCUUAAGGUAGCGUAGUACCUUGUCGCUUAAUUGGCGACUUGCAUGAAUGGAUUAACAAGAGCCCUACUGUCCCUAACACGAAUCCGUUGAACAUUUCAUCCUAGUGCAGAGACUAGGGACUCCAGAUGGGAAGUGAAGACCCCGUGGAGCUUUACUGCAGCCUGUCGCUGUGUUACGGUAUUCCUUGCGCAGCGUAGAUGGGAGGCGUCGAACCAUCCCCUCCGGGGGGUGGGGAGCCACCAAUGAGACACCAUCCUUGGUUUACUGUAACACUAACUCAAACUUGAGGACAACGGUAGGUAGGCAGUUUGGGUGGGGCGCCACACCCUCGAAAAAAUAUCAAGGGUGCCCUAUGGUCAACUCAUGUGAGUCAGAAACUCACAGGAGAGUGUCAAGAGCAUAAGUUGGCCUGACGCGAUUACGCAAAGCAAGUAAUCGCGAGAGGAAACUCGGGUCUAACGAACCAAUGAGCCUUAUUGAUGAGGGCCAUUGACGACAGAAAAGCUACCCCGGGGAUAACAGAGUCGUCGCCGGCAAGAGCACAUAUCGACCCGGCGGCUUGCUACCUCGAUGUCGGUUCUUUCCAUCCUGGCCGUGCAGCAGCGGCCAAGGGGAUCGUGAGCUGGGUUUAGACCGUCGUGAGACAGGUCGGUUACUAUCUAUAAGGAGUGUCGGAAGUCUGAAGGCAAGAAUGAAAUAGUACGAGAGGAACUUUCAUUCGGCGCCUCUGGUCGAUCGGUUGUCUGACAAGGCAAUGCCGAGCAGCUACGCGCCAAAAGAUAAAAGCUGAAAGCAUCUAAGCUUGAAACUCAGCCUGAACAAGAGACUUCAUUAAAGAUGCGGGUAAAACACCCGGUUGAUAGGAUUGGGAUGUAAGCACGAAGGCAACGACGUGUUCAGUCCGCGAUUACUAACUAUCUUAAUUACGUC
rnacentral:rRNA from 1 species